CACGUAGCUAGCCGUGGCUUUCUCAUAAGGUACCGUCAAUUGAUAGUCAUUUCCUCCUAUCACCUUUCUUCCCUUAUAACAGAAUUUUACAACCCGAAGGCCUUCUUCAUUCACGCGGCGUUGCUCGGUCAGGCUUUCGCCCAUUGCCGAAGAUUCCCUACUGCUGCCUCCCGUAGGAGUCUGGGCCGUGUCUCAGUCCCAGUGUGGCCGUUCACCCUCUCAGGUCGGCUACGCAUCGUCGCCUUGGUAGGCCUUUACCCCACCAACUAGCUAAUGCGCCGCAGGCUCAUCCAUCAGUGAUGCCAGGAGCAUCUUUAAACUUUCGUCCUAUCCGGUAUUAGCGAUCGUUUCCAAUCGUUGUCCCCGUCUGAUGGGCAGAUCACCUACGUGUUACUCACCCGUUCGCCGCUUCCCACCGAAGUGGUUCGCUCGACUUGCAUGUAUUAGGCACGCCGCCAGCGUUCAUCCUGAGCCAGGAUCAAACUCU
rnacentral:rRNA from 1 species